UACGGAGGGAGCUAGCGUUGUUCGGAAUUACUGGGCGUAAAGCGCGUGUAGGCGGGUCUUUAAGUCAGGGGUGAAAUGCCAAGGCUCAACCUUGGAACUGCCUUUGAUACUGGAGAUCUUGAGUCCGGGAGAGGUGAGUGGAACUGCGAGUGUAGAGGUGAAAUUCGUAGAUAUUCGCAAGAACACCAGUGGCGAAGGCGGCUCACUGGCCCGGAACUGACGCUGAGACGCGAAAGCGUGGGGAGCAAACAGG
rnacentral:rRNA from 1 species